rnacentral:rRNA from 1 species
AUUGAACGCUGGCGGCAGGCCUAACACAUGCAAGUCGAGCGGAUGAAGGGAGCUUGCUCCUGGAUUCAGCGGCGGACGGGUGAGUAAUGCCUAGGAAUCUGCCUGGUAGUGGGGGAUAACGUCCGGAAACGGGCGCUAAUACCGCAUACGUCCUGAGGGCGAGAGUGGGGGAUCUUCGGACCUCACGCCAUCAGAUGAGCCUAGGUCGGAUUAGCUAGUUGGUGGGGUAAAGGCCUACCAAGGCGACGAUCCGUAACUGGUCUGAGAGGAUGAUCAGUCACACUGGAACUGAGACACGGUCCAGACUCCUACGGGAGGCAGCAGUGGGGAAUAUUGGACAAUGGGCGAAAGCCUGAUCCAGCCAUGCCGCGUGUGUGAAGAAGGUCUUCGGAUUGUAAAGCACUUUAAGUUGGGAGGAAGGGCAGUAAGUUAAUACCUUGCUGUUUUGACGUUACCAACAGAAUAAGCACCGGCUAACUUCGUG